UCCUACGGGAGGCAGCAGUGAGGAAUAUUGGUCAAUGGCCGGAAGGCUGAACCAGCCAAGCCGCGUGAGGGAGGAAGGCGCAGAGCGUCGCAGACCUCUUUUGCCGGGGGACAAAAGGCCGGACUCGUCCGGUCCUGAGGGUACCCGGAGAAAAAGCAUCGGCUAACUCCGUGCCAGCAGCCGCGGUAAUACGGAGGAUGCGAGCGUUAUCCGGAUUUAUUGGGUUUAAAGGGUGCGCAGGCGGACCAUCAAGUCAGCGGUAAAAUCGUGGGGCCCAACCCCAUCCCGCCGUUGAAACUGGCGGG
rnacentral:rRNA from 1 species